rnacentral:piRNA from 1 species
UGCCUGUGUGGUUGAAGAUGGACACGAGC